UAGGGAAUCUUCGGCAAUGGACGAAAGUCUGACCGAGCAACGCCGCGUGAGUGAAGAAGGUUUUCGGAUCGUAAAACUCUGUUGUUAGAGAAGAACAAGGACGUUAGUAACUGAACGUCCCCUGACGGUAUCUAACCAGAAAGCCACGGCUAACUACGUGCCAGCAGCCGCGGUAAUACGUAGGUGGCAAGCGUUGUCCGGAUUUAUUGGGCGUAAAGCGAGCGCAGGCGGUUUCUUAAGUCUGAUGUGAAAGCCCCCGGCUCAACCGGGGAGGGGCAUUGGAAACUGGGAGACUUGAGUGCAGAAGAGGCGAGUGGAAUUCCAUGUGUAGCGGUGAAAUGCGUAGAUAUAUGGAGGAACACCAGUGGCGAAGGCGGCUCUAUGGUCUGUAACUGACGCUGAGGCUCGAAAGCGUGGGGAGCAAACAGG
rnacentral:rRNA from 1 species